rnacentral:rRNA from 1 species
GACGAACGCUGGCGGCGCGCCUAACACAUGCAAGUCGAACGAGCGAGAGAGAGCUUGCUUUCUCGAGCGAGUGGCGAACGGGUGAGUAACGCGUGAGGAACCUGCCUCAAAGAGGGGGACAACAGUUGGAAACGACUGCUAAUACCGCAUAAGCCCACGGCUCGGCAUCGAGCAGAGGGAAAAGGAGCAAUCCGCUUUGAGAUGGCCUCGCGUCCGAUUAGCUGGUUGGUGAGGUAACGGUCCACCAAGGCGACGAUCGGUAGCCGGACUGAGAGGUUGAACGGCCACAUUGGGACUGAGACACGGCCCAGACUCCUACGGGAGGCAGCAGUGGGGAAUAUUGCACAAUGGGGGAAACCCUGAUGCAGCGACGCCGCGUGGAGGAAGAAGGUCUUCGGAUUGUAAACUCCUGUUGUUGGGGAAGAUAAUGACGGUACCCAACAAGGAAGGA